GAAUUGUUGAGAGAUUAGAUAUUACAAAGAGGUGCAUAGUCUUAUGUCUUCAACAAAACGACUUCAUGCUGAAAAAGAUGAUAAUAGUUUUAAGUGUUGAAUGUCAAUCACAUAUUAACCACAAGCUACACAAAUUGCCUUGAAGUACUGGCACCUUCCUAUGAGUUUCUUUACUGACUUUAUUCAGUGUACUUUACUUAAGUAAGUUAUGCCCUGCUAGGAUAGCCACUGUUGUGCACAAAAGGGGUCUUCAGUUCUGGACUGACUAAUGCUUGUUUUCUAGGAUCGUUUCUUCCUAGAACUUUUAUUGGUCUCUACUAGCAGCUGCAGUAAGAGAGGAGUUACCAGACAUCUCAAUGUUUUCAUCCUGAUCUGUCUCCAGAGGAGAUGCCUUCAAGACGCCUGCAUAUGCUGGUGCCUCCAUUAUUUAUUUAAUUUGGCUUGGCUUUUUUAUCUGCAGUUAUACACUUCUUACUGCAACUAAGUAAAUGAACUUAUCAUGGGCAUGAAAUUAUCAUCUCAUCCCAUCAGAAGAUAGGUAUUUUCAAAGAACUCACAUUGAUUCAAAAUCAAUUCCAAAUGGGAGAAAAAUGAAGAUUUAAGGUAAUGUUAAUAUUUAUUUUCUGUAUACAGUACUCAAGCAUGAUAGAAAAGAAAAAUAGAAAGUUUUCUCCCUUUUUAUAAGUAGUGUCAAUGCUUUUAUUAAGGUUUUUUGCUUUCUAGAGAUAAACUCAG
rnacentral:lncRNA from 1 species